UACAGAGGUCCCGAGCGUUGUUCGGAUUCAUUGGGCGUAAAGGGUGCGUAGGCGGCGGGGCAAGUCUGAUGUGAAAUCCCGGGGCUCAACCCCGGAACUGCAUUGGAUACUGCCUUGCUUGAGUACUGGAGAGGAGACUGGAAUUUACGGUGUAGCAGUGAAAUGCGUAGAGAUCAUAAGGAAGGCCAGUGGCGAAGGCGAGUCUCUGGACAGUAACUGACGCUGAGGCACGAAGGCCAGGGGAGCAAACGGG
rnacentral:rRNA from 1 species